rnacentral:rRNA from 2 species
CACGGAAGUUUUCAGAGAUGAGAAUGUGCCUUCGGGAACCGUGAGACAGGUGCUGCAUGGCUGUCGUCAGCUCGUGUUGUGAAAUGUUGGGUUAAGUCCCGCAACGAGCGCAACCCUUAUCCUUUGUUGCCAGCGGUCCGGCCGGGAACUCAAAGGAGACUGCCAGUGAUAAACUGGAGGAAGGUGGGGAUGACGUCAAGUCAUCAUGGCCCUUACGACCAGGGCUACACACGUGCUACAAUGGCGCAUACAAAGAGAAGCGACCUCGCGAGAGCAAGCGGACCUCAUAAAGUGCGUCGUAGUCCGGAUUGGAGUCUGCAACUCGACUCCAUGAAGUCGGAAUCGCUAGUAAUCGUGGAUCAGAAUGCCACGGUGAAUACGUUCCCGGGCCUUGUACACACCGCCCGUCACACCAUGGGAGUGGGUUGCAAAAGAAGUAGGUAGCUUAACCUUCGGGAGGGCGCUUACCACUUUGUGAUUCAUGACUGGGGUGAAGUCGUAACAAGGUAACCGUAGGGGAACCUGCGGUUGGAUCACCUCCUUACCUUAAAGAAGC